GCCUAGAGGUCAGCUCCUGCACGCUACGCAGCUAUUACGGCAAUUGUUCUCAAUUCUUAUGUUUUAUUUUACCGAAAAAAGUUUAUUUUUUAGGUUUGCGUUGAGUUAUACAAAGUAUCGAGUUUAUCAGCAACUUUUGCUGAAGAAACGGGACACAGAGAGGACAUUUACCGGCUCAUGACAUCUUUGCGACUUGUCUUGCGGACCAUGGUUGGAGGAAAACAACCAUCAGCAACAAUGUCUGAAAGCAGCGACGUUUUCACUCACUAGACCUGAAGAAGCAGUCUGCCCCACCCCCACCCCACACCCCCUCCCGUGGACAAUAAAGUGUGGACCAUGUUUAGCUGCAGACAUUUGCUAUGAGUGAAACGGCACCGUACAGUCUGUGCACUACAACCUUCAAAUAUGACUUCUACAGAUCUGUCAUCAUGGAACAUCCAGGGAACAUUCAGGAUGCUAGAGGCGGAGACUAACAACAAAUUACAAUGGAUGUGAGAAGUAGUUGUUUUCUUUCAUUUAUUUAUUACUUUAUUUUAUUUUAUUUUGAAACAAAUGGAGUAUUGCAUUGUAGGAUCACAUGCUAACUACUGAAUCCAUAUUUGUUUACAUCUACAAUAUACAUUUAUGUCCCAAUCUUAAACAUUUUUAACAUUUAAAACUAAAGAAAUAAUCAAAAUUGAAUAACAUCUUGAAAGUGACAUGUAGUGAUUGCUGAAUAGACAGCUGCAAAGCCACAUUAACACACAAUGUAAAAGAUGUUGUAUUACUUUAUCAUUUGUCAGCAUCAUUAUUAUUUAUUACAUUUUAUUGUCAGCUGUUGUCAGCGUUUUUGUUGGUUAUUUACUUUAUUUGAUGUACAAUUAAAUCACUAUUGAGCAAGAGGAAAAUUUCCUGUGAUUAUGAGCUUUUUCGCAUUUUAAUUCAUUUUGAAUUUAAAUAGAGGCUGAUAUAACCCCCUUGCAUCGAUCUGAGGUAAACACUGUCUGAACUGCUUAUCAGUAGAUGCCAAGGCUAUCCAGGAACAGUCUUGACGUUCAAGUUGAACGUUUACAGAAAGCAUGACUUAGAUUUCACUGUUUACUUUCUGUGGGUUCAAACUUACGUAAGCUUUGGAGUCAGACCUCAGAGUGGAACUUACCCAUAGCUCACCCUCCCCUACAGGUGCAUGUGAUGAGUUUAUGAAUAGCUGUGAUGUUGACAUGUUGGAAGUGCUCUGACAGGUGCGUCAUAACUCUUUGACACUGAUUCUCGUCACUCCAGCAGCACAUCAGUCAUACCUGCGGUCCUGCUGUUGCUUUUAGGGUUAAUAUGAGAAUCUGUCGCCAGAAGGCAGGCACAAAAACAAACAGGUAGAUCAAAAUCAGGGUGGUUAUUGCUGUGUAAGAUCUAUAUAGGGGAUUUGUACAGUAAUUUGUAUAGAGCCUUUUGCCUCUGGCUGAAUUUGACAGAACAGGCAAAACGUGCUAAUCCUACAUGAGGAGGUGGUGCAACUUUAUCUUUGUGUCAGGACUUGUUUUGCAUUGCAUGUUGUCAACAAUGAUUGGCUUGUUAACCUGUACAUCAAAGGUCAUUUAAAUACAGAAAAUAAAUGCUGAAAGUUUUGUAAAAUGCAGUAUACUGUAUGUAUAAUUUGUCAUGUCAACCAAUAACUGGGAAAUAAACGAGUAAAAUACCUAUGCUUAGAGCAGAUUGAAGGACACACAUCGAUACUGUUAAGCCUAUAGCCUACAGCUUACAUACAGUAUAGUAGCACUUCCCAAACAGUGGGGAAAGAGAAAAAAUAAACACA